CCAGUUUCUCUGCACGAAUACCGAGAGAAAACGAACGGGUGUUCUUCGUGUUCUUCAUAAUCAAACGAGGAUUUGAAGGUGUUAUUGGAAUCCGAUGGAGGUGUAUGAAUAGUCAAAACGAAGCUCUCGAUGCAUAGAAUCCAUUACAAUCAGUAGUUUCACUGCAGAUUUCGUAGGGUUUGGACGAGACGGAUACGAUCGAAGACGUUCAGAAGGUCAAACGAUGUUACAAAGCGAAUAAGGAACGAAUCGAGUAAACGAAGCAGUGUGGCGAAUAGAGUAUAGCCAAAGAUGGUCUAGAGACUAUGAUAUGCAUAGAAUGUGAAAGUGGAAAGAUGAGAUUGAGAUAUGAGACUGGAAUCGGAUUUAAGAAAAGCUUAAAGGUGAAUUGCAUAAUUGAGAUUGCGAAUAUGGCUAAGGCUAAGCGAGGAGUCAGAGUAUAGAGUAUACAGAGGACAAGUGGAAAUGUUCAGGGAGAUUGUCAAGGUUGGUUCUAGAUAGAAUUGUUGAGAUUCAGUUGUAAUCAUAAUUUAAAUAGAUUGGCAGUGAUUCUUCUCAUCGAAGAUGAUCUGAGGUUGUAAGACAUUGUUUAUUUAUAGUGGUUGAUUCUAAUUUCAA